GGAGAAAGACCAGUCCUGAGGGAGGGUAACCAGAAGCCAAUGUUGCUAUGGCAAAGGCAGACCACCCUGGAGGGAGAAGAGGAGACAGACUUGCCACAUCACUCCUCAGCUGAAACACAUUUCUGGAGGGCCAUGAAGUGAUGACAGACCUGUGACCUCUGGCCCUGCAGCCCACACGGAGUGGCGAGGAGCACAGACAUGGGAAUGCAGAGUCCUGGAUCCUGUGCCCCUUUCUGGCUCCAACCAGCUAGCUCAUCUUGGACAAGUCACAUUGUCUCUCUAGGCCUCAGUUUCUGCUUCUAUAAGGAAAAUAGGUUGAGUCACAAGAUCGCUAAGCCUCCUUCCCCUGACAUCUGACAAUUCUGCCCGCCCAAGGAAGAGACAAGCUGCUCAGCCAUAUUUCACCUUCUUUGACCAGACAUCGUAUGUCACAGCUGUCUCUGCAGCCCAGAACCACCAAGCAAACAGCAGCCUCACGAAAGGUAGCGAGGUCUAGCAAAGCCCAAAGUCCCAAGGUGUAACUAAUCAUGGAUCCAACUGAUCACGAGGCAAUCAAUUCCUCCUCACACGACAUGGUUUCUUCUUCCUUUGCACAGCGAUAACGACAUGAUCAAAGGUGAAGCCUCAUACGGAAAUGCUUUGAAAAUAUUAAGAUGCACCCAUCAACAAGGGGGAAAAAAAGCUGACCUAGGUCAGCUUUUUGUUUUGGAAAACAGCAUUUUGACAGAGACCUGUAAGGCGAAAGACAAAAAGAACUAUACGAAAACACUGUAUUCUCAUUAGAAAUUGUUUUCGCAGGGAUAUGGAUUAGUGAUUCUGAAACUACGUGUAUAGUAAGGGGAACAAAUAAGUGUAGGAGUUGUAGACAAUGGGAGUCCAUUUGGCAUUGUCAGAGUAAGAAGGGACAGUGAGGAAAGGCAGGAGGCCAGGACAAACCCAGUGGUGCUGGAUUCAAGUUGGAGGUAUCAGGGUGAACUUGUUUUUAUUUACAUAUAUAUAGAGAGACAGGUGUAGAAAUGUCGAUAUGUGCUUAUACAUUGGCUACUCUACAUUCAUAUGCUUCCUAAAGCAAUGACCCAGUAGCAAAGAACAUACCCAGCCCUCAGAACUUGGUUUCCAAAUACCAUCUUCCCAAUAAAGGAAUCAGGGCUCCCUGGAGAGAAAGAACUGAUUUUAACGCAGGGAAAAGAGCCUGAAGCGUUGUAUAGGGUCAGAAGGUAAGGUAAUGGGAAACCAAAUGGAAGCAUGUCAAAAAGACACAGGGACCAACCCGAAAGAGAUCCUAAUGACCAGAGCUAGAACAAUUUGAGCAACAAUUUGAAAAGGUACUGGAUUGUAACUCAAAUGAUAAAAUCGAUGUCCCUGAAUCCAUCCUGAUAUAAACAAAUAAUUUAAUAAAUAAGUAAAUUACCGGGAAGAGACAAAUCUUUAUAGAGGAAUUCCAAAUUAUAGAUGUAGAUUCUCCCCCCUCCAGGGAGUGGGGUUUCAGUUCCCUCCCUCUGAGUAUAAGCUGGACUUAGUGAUUCACUUCCAAUCCGUAGCAUCUAGAAAGGGGAAAACAGUAACUUUACAGUGGAGAAAACUGGCAGAGCCAUCCACCCAUGUGAUCAAGGUUAACCUCACCAUUGAUUAGUCAUGUUGAUAUCACAUACUUCCUGAUAUAGGGUGGAAAGCAAGGGCACUUUGCAUCUGUGGUAUACCUCCAGAAAAUCCAUAACUCGGGUCUAAUCAUGAGAAAACUUCAGAGAAGCCUAAAUCGGGGGACAUUCAAUAAAAUACCUAAAAAUGUCAAGGUCGUGGAAAAUAAGGAACAACAGAGAAAGCUUCACGGAUCACGGGAGACAUGGUGCGGUAUGGUAUCCUGAAACAGAAAAGGGACAUUAGUGGAAAAACAGGGGGGAAUCCAAAUAAAGUCUGUAGUUUAGUUCA